GAUGAAGAACGUAGCGAAAUGCGAUACUUGGUGUGAAUUGCAGAAUCCCGUGAACCAUCGAGUCUUUGAACGCAAGUUGCGCCCGAAGCCUCGGCUAAGGGCACGUCUGCCUGGGCGUCACGCAUCGCGUCUCCCCCAAACCGCCAAGGCGGAGGGGAAGGAAGAUGGCUUCCCGUGCCUCACCCGGCGCGGUUGGCCUAAAUUUGGAGCCCGCGGCACUUAGCUCUCGCGGCGAUAGGUGGUGAACAACCCGCUGCGAAGCUCUAUGUCACGUGCGCUCGUCGGACCCUUUGAAGUUGCCUUCGGUGACUUAAAACCUUUGCGACCCCAGGUCAGGCGGGGCUACCCGCUGAAUUUAAGCAUAUCAAUAAGCGGAGGA
rnacentral:misc_RNA from 1 species